rnacentral:lncRNA from 1 species
AGUAUAUAUUACUAGACCUGGAAUAGCUAGACUAAGGUAUAUGCAUAUUUUUAAAAAAAUUACUUAGAUAUAAUUCAUAUAUCAUACAGUUAACUUAAAGUACACAAUUUAAUAGUUGUUAGUAUAUUUAUAGUUGUGCAACUAUCACUGAUACAGAACGGCUGGGCUCCCAGCUAAACCCUACCCUUAAGCCUGGAAUCACGGCCUUGAAAACAGCUGACUCUGUUUUUCUGCGCAAAUGUUGCUUUUUUGGCCUGCCACGCCCCUAUCCUGUGGCCAUAAAAAAGACUUCAGCCGGCAGAUCAACACAAGCGGCUGAGCGGUGAGCAGAGAAGCAGCAACGGAGUGUUGAAGACUAGAGGUAGACGCAGCUAACUUCAGACGGUGCGGCUUCUGGGAAAGAUAAUCCUCUCUCACCAUCUACUUUCCAGUUUCCAUCCCACCAGGAGCCACCACUCAAUCAAAUCCUCCGCAUACACUACUCUUCAAUCCGUUCAUGUGACUUAAUUCUUCCUGGACGCCGGACAGGCACCCGGGUGCCGAGAGGGCAGGGCUUGGACGCUGCUGUGAAGCCCGUACAGAGCCUGUUCCCGCCAGAGAGGGGUGACUGGCCGGUUCCAGCAUUCGUUAGCUCCGGUUCCCGCACUCGCACGCUCUGCAGCCAGGAGUGGCCGGAGGCGGGCUGAGUGAAAUGAGCUGCUCCAGUUCCCGCCCACGAAGGGGGUUAAGGUGAAGGGAACAGUGCUGUCUCAUAUGGGGGCCUGUCCAGGAUAUGAAAAAGAGUGAGUUAAAAUGAGGAACUGUCAAAUUUGUGUCUUUUCCAAGACCCUGCCACCUCUCUCUUUACUUUAGGUAAAAGGAAUGUUGGCUGUUUCCCUUCACCGAGGUCUAGCCGGUCUGAACCAGAGGAGUGAUACAGUGAUUAAAGAAACCCAUUUCAACAGAGCAAGAGACCGUUCCCCCAGGUCCCUCCAACUUAGAGACAGGGUCUUGCUUGUCACCCAGGCUGGAGUGCCAUGGAGCAAUCACUGCUCACUGCAACCUUGACCUCCUGGGCUCAAGCAGUCCUCCCACUU